rnacentral:rRNA from 1 species
AGUGAACGCUGGCGGCAGGCCUAACACAUGCAAGUCGAGCGGCAGCGGGUUCCCGCGAGGGGAUGCCGGCGAGCGGCGGACGGGUGAGGAACACAUCGGAAUCUGCCUGGUUGUGGGGGAUAACGUAGGGAAACUUACGCUAAUACCGCAUGAGACCCUGAGUCGACGGACUGGGGGUGAAAGUGAGGGACCUUCGGGCCUCACGCGACCAGAUGAGCCGAUGUCGGAUUAGCUAGUUGGCGGGGUAACGGCCCGCCAAGGCGACGAUCCGUAGCUGGUCUGAGAGGAUGAUCAGCCACACUGGGACUGAGAC